AGUUCUGGACCUGGCAGGGGCUUGUUAUGGUGACAAGAGGCAGGGAAGCAAGGUACAGACGUAGAAGGCAGACUGCAGGAAAGGGGUGAAGUAAAGGCGAGAUUCAGGUGACUGUUCUAAAAGAUCUCUUUUUUAUGAUACUGAAGCCAUGCCCUGGAGGAGCAAGCUUGAGAUGAGUCCUCUGGGAAGAGAGAACCUCAAAUGAGAAAUGCAAAUGCCCCUUCAGACUGGCCUCCAGGGGUCACAGUUCAGAGAUUGUUCUGAGUCUGAGAAGAGACACUGAAUUUCUUAACAAUGUUGGGACUGUUAAAAGACUGUAGGGACCUGGAAAGAUGGAUCAAAUGCAUUUUACAUUAUGGAAUAAUAAUAAAAAAAGCUUUAGAGA